rnacentral:rRNA from 1 species
GAUGAACGCUGGCGGCGUGCCUAAUACAUGCAAGUCGAGCGAACAGACGAGGAGCUUGCUCCUCUGACGUUAGCGGCGGACGGGUGAGUAACACGUGGAUAACCUACCUAUAAGACUGGGAUAACUUCGGGAAACCGGAGCUAAUACCGGAUAAUAUAUUGAACCGCAUGGUUCAAUAGUGAAAGACGGUUUUGCUGUCACUUAUAGAUGGAUCCGCGCCGCAUUAGCUAGUUGGUAAGGUAACGGCUUACCAAGGCAACGAUGCGUAGCCGACCUGAGAGGGUGAUAAGCAACACUGGAACAGAGAAAAGGUCCAGACUGCUACGGGAGGGAGGAGGCGGGAAUAUUGGACAAUGGGCGAAAGCAUGAUCAAGCAAUACCGCGUGGGUGAAGAAGGCAUUAGGGUUGUAAAUCUCUGUUGUUGGGAAAGAAAAGAAGCAGGUUAAAACCCCGAUGUUCUGACGGGACCCAAAGAAUAAGCAACGGCUAACUUCGGG